UGGGGAAUAUUGGACAAUGGGCGCAAGCCUGAUCCAGCCAUGCCGCGUGAGUGAUGAAGGCCCUAGGGUUGUAAAGCUCUUUCAGCGAGGAGGAUAAUGACGUUACUCGCAGAAGAAGCCCCGGCUAACUUCGUGCCAGCAGCCGCGGUAAUACGAAGGGGGCUAGCGCUGUUCGGAAUCACUGGGCGUAAAGCGCACGUAGGCGGACUUUUAAGUCAGGGGUGAAAUCCCGGGGCUCAACCUCGGAACUGCCUUUGAUACUGGAAGUCUGGAGUCCGAGAGAGGUGAGUGGAACUCCGAGUGUAGAGGUGAAAUUCGUAGAUAUUCGGAAGAACACCAGUGGCGAAGGCGGCUCACUGGCUCGGUACUGACGCUGAGGUGCGAAAAGCGUGGGGAGCAAAACAGGAUUAGAUACCCUGGUAGUCCACGCCGUAAAACGAUGGAAGCUAGCCGUCAGGGUGCAUGCAUCUUGGUGGCGCAGUUAACGCAUUAAGCUUCCCGCCUGGGGAGUACGGUCGCAAGAUUAAAAACUC
rnacentral:rRNA from 1 species